UGAAACACCAUGAAGUUCACCUACAUUUUGUCCGUUUUGGUUUUGUGCCUAACUUUAUACUUAACUUUCGCCAAUGCUGCAAAUUUCAACAUCACAAACAAAUGUACCUACACAGUUUGGGCAGCUGCUUUCCCAGGCGGUGGCAGGCGGCUCGACCGAGGCAAAUCAUGGUCCCUAAACGUGGCUCCUGGCACCACCCACGCUCGCAUUUGGGGCCGAACCAAUUGCAACUUUGAUGCCAAAGGCCAAGGCCACUGUCAAACAGGUGACUGCAAAGGGCGCCUCGAGUGCCAAGGCUAUGGAAGUCCUCCAAAUACGAUAGCUGAAUUCUCCCUAAACCAGCCUAACAACUUAGACUACAUCGACAUCUCCAACAUUGAUGGAUUCAACAUCCCAAUGGAGUUCAGCUCUGUAACUCCGUGCCGCGUUAUCAAAUGUUCAGCACCUAUUGUUGAUAAGAACUCCAGGUGGAUGCAACAGCCCCUGCACUGUUUUUAAAAGAAAUGAGUACUGCUGCACCAAUGGCCCAGGAAGCUGUGGCCCGACCGACUUCUCCAGGUUCUUUAAGAGCAGGUGCCCUGAUGCUUAUAGCUAUCCUCAAGAUGAUCGCACAAGCUUGUUUACUUGCCCAAGUGUUACAAAUUAUAGGGUUGUCUUCUCUGCAAAUUUCAACAUUGUAAACCAAUGUACCUACACAGUUUGGGCAGCUGCUUCCCCAGGCGGUGGCAGGAGGCUCGACCGAGGCCAAUCAUGGUCCCUAAACGUGGCUCCUGGCACCACCCAAGCUCGCAUUUGGGGCCGAACCAAUUGCAACUUUGAUGCCAAUGGCCAAGGCCACUGUCAAACAGGUGACUGCAACGGGCGCCUCGAGUGCCAAGGCUAUGGAAGUCCACCGAAUACGCUAGCUGAGUUCGCCCUAAACCAGCCUAACAACUUAGACUACAUCGACAUUUCCAACGUUGAUGGAUUUAACAUCCCAUUGGAGUUCAGCUCCGUUACCAAUUGCCGUGACAUCAGAUGUUCAGCUCCUAUUGUUGAUCAAUGCCCAGCUCAGCUAAGAACUCCAGGUGGAUGCAACAAUCCCUGCACUGUUUUUCACACAAAUGAGUACUGUUGCACCGAUGGCCCAGGAAGCUGUCACCCGACCGACUUCUCCAGGUUCUUCAAGGACAGGUGCCCUGAUGCUUAUAGCUAUCCUCAAGAUGAUCCCACAAGCUUGUUUACUUGCCCAAGUGGUACAAAUUAUAGGGUUGUCUUCUGCCCUUAAAGAAAUCCAGAUAUUUAAGAAAAGUAGAUUAUGAAGAAAUAAACGCAUAUGAGACCCUUCUUGUAAUGGUUCACUGAAAUUGGAAUAAAUUUGAGCACAUAUAGCAUUGUGCGGUUUGUCUUCGUUAUCA